AUUGAACGCUGGCGGCAGGCCUAACACAUGCAAGUCGAGCGGAUGAAGGGAGCUUGCUCCUGGAUUCAGCGGCGGACGGGUGAGUAAUGCCUAGGAAUCUGCCUGGUAGUGGGGGAUAACGUCCGGAAACGGGCGCUAAUACCGCAUCCGUCCUGAGGGAGAAAGUGGGGGAUCUUCGGACCUCACGCUAUCAGAUGAGCCUAGGUCGGAUUAGCUAGUUGGUGGGGUAAAGGCCUACCAAGGCGACGAUCCGUAACUGGUCUGAGAGGAUGAUCAGUCACACUGGAACUGAGACACGGUCCAGACUCCUACGGGAGGCAGCAGUAGGGAAUAUUGGACAAUGGGCGAAAGCCUGAUCCAGCCAUGCCGCGUGUGUGAAGAAGGUCUUCGGAUUGUAAAGCACUUUAAGUUGGGAGGAAGGGCAGUAAGUUAAUACCUUGCUGUUUUGACGGUACCAACAGAAUAAGCACCGGCUAACUUCGUG
rnacentral:rRNA from 1 species